rnacentral:tRNA from 1 species
GGUGAAAUGGCUGAGUUAGGCAGUAAAUUGUAAAUUUACGAACGGGAUAAAAUUAUUCCUUUCACCA